CUGGAGGCAGCAGUGGGGAAUAUUGGACAAUGGGCGCAAGCCUGAUCCAGCCAUGCCGCGUGAGUGAUGAAGGCCCUAGGGUUGUAAAGCUCUCUCAACGGUGAAGAUAAUGACGGUAACCGUAGAAGAAGCCCCGGCUAACUUCGUGCCAGCAGCCGCGGUAAUACGAAGGGGGCUAGCGUUGUUCGGAAUUACUGGGCGUAAAGCGCACGUAGGCGGAUUGUUAAGUUAGGGGUGAAAUCCCAGGGCUCAACCCUGGAACUGCCUCUAAUACUGGCAAUCUCGAGUCCGAGAGAGGUGAGUGGAAUUCCGAGUGUAGAGGUGAAAUUCGUAGAUAUUCGGAGGAACACCAGUGGCGAAGGCGGCUCACUGGCUCGGUACUGACGCUGAGGUGCGAAAGCGUGGGGAGCAAACAGGAUUAGAUACCCCGGUAGC
rnacentral:rRNA from 1 species